rnacentral:tRNA from 1 species
GGGCGCUUAGCUCAGCGGGAGAGCACCGUCUUCACACGGCGGGGGUCACUGGUUCAAUCCCAGUAGCGCCCACCA